rnacentral:rRNA from 1 species
UCGUGGAUUGAUUUGUCUGGUUAAUUCCGAUAACGAACGAGAUUGGAGCUUAAUUAAAUAGAAAGGUCAUUUUUACUUUCAUUUCUUUACGGAUUUGAAACGUGACUCUUUCUUCUUAAUGGGAUUUGCGGCGUUCCAGUCGUAAGAAACCCAGCAAUAACA